AGACGGGGACUGUAACUCAGCAAACCUUCCUCAUGAGGGAGAAGAUGGGAUAAACAAUGGAUUCCUAGCUGAAAUCCUACAAUUGUGGAGAGAUGUUUUAUCUACAGGAUGGUGCGCCCCAGGAAAUCAAGAAACAACCACCUCUCCUCUCUCCCAUCACCUUACAAACCCAAGACCUGGCACACUGGGAAAAAUAAAAACAGAACCGGGCAAGAGAUUCUCAACGGUCCGUGAACUCCCGGUAGGAACUUGGCUAAAUAGAGUUGUUUCGGGUACAUGACAACUUGGCCUCUUCUGUGUUCUCCUGAAUGUAUAAUUGAUGUGGCCCAUCUGUUUCCAGUAAAGGAACUUUUGUUUUGC
rnacentral:lncRNA from 1 species